rnacentral:rRNA from 1 species
GAUGAACGCUGGCGGUAUGCCUAACACAUGCAAGUCGAACGAGCUCUUCGGAGCUAGUGGCGGACGGGUGAGUAACGCGUGAGAAUCUGCCUUCAGGAUGGGGACAACAGUUGGAAACGAUUGCUAAAACCCAAUGUGCCGCAAGGUGAAAUAUUAAUAGCCUGAAGAGGAGCUCGCGUCCGAUUAGUUAGUUGGUGGGGUAAAGGCCUACCAAGGCAGCGAUCGGUAGCUGGUCUGAGAGGAUGAGCAGCCACACUGGGACUGAGACACGGCCCAGACUCCUACGGGAGGCAGCAGUGGGGAAUUUUCCGCAAUGGGCGAAAGCCUGACGGAGCAAUACCGCGUGAGGGAGGAAGGUUUUUGGAUUGUAAACCUCUUUUGUUAAGGAAGAAGAAAGUGACGGUACUUAACGAAUAAGCAUCGGCUAACUCCGUGCCAGCAGCCGCCGCCG